GAUGAACGCUGGCUACAGGCUUAACACAUGCAAGUCGAGGGGAAACGACGGGGAAGCUUGCUUCCCCGGGCGUCGACCGGCGCACGGGUGAGUAACGCGUAUCCAACCUGCCUCUGACUGAGGGAUAACCCGUCGAAAGUCGGCCUAAUACCUCAUGGUAUCGUCUGCGGGCAUCCAACGACGAUUAAAGAUUUCAUCGGUCAGGGAUGGGGAUGCGUCUGAUUAGCUUGUUGGCGGGGUAACGGCCCACCAAGGCUACGAUCAGUAGGGGUUCUGAGGGGAAGGUCCCCCACAGUGGAACUGAGACCCGGUCCAAACUCCUACGGGAGGCAGCAGUGAGGAAUAUUGGUCAAUGGGCGAGAGCCUGAACCAGCCAAGUAGCGUGCAGGAAGACGGCCAUAUGGGUUGUAAACUGCUUUUAUGCGGGGAUAAAGUGAGGGACGUGUCCCUCAUUGCAGGUACCGAAUGAAUAAGGACCGGCUAAUUCCGUG
rnacentral:rRNA from 1 species